rnacentral:rRNA from 1 species
UACGUAGGGUGCAAGCGUUGUCCGGAAUCAUUGGGCGUAAAGAGCUCGUAGGCGGUCUGUUGCGUCGACUGUGAAAACCCGGGGCUCAACCCCGGGCCUGCAGUCGAUACGGGCAGACUAGAGUUCGGUAGGGGAGACUGGAAUUCCUGGUGUAGCGGUGAAAUGCGCAGAUAUCAGGAGGAACACCGGUGGCGAAGGCGGGUCUCUGGGCCAACACUGACGCUCAUGCACGAAAGCGUGGGGAGCAAACAGG